UGGUCUUGACAUGUUAACGAUCGUCUUGGAAACAAGAUUUCCCUUCGGGGCGUUAUUACAGGUGCUGCAUGGCUGUCGUCAGCUCGUGCUGUGAAGUGUUCGGUUAAGUCCGGCAACGAGCGCAACCCACAUCACUAUUUGCCAUCAGGUAAUGCUGGGGACUAUAGUGAGACUGCCCGUGUUAAACGGGAGGAAGGCGUGGACGACGUCAAGUCAGUAUGGCCCUUAUGACCAGGGCUGCACACGUGCUACAAUGGGCGGUACAGAGGGAAGCAAAGCAGCGAUGUGGAGCAAAUCCGUAAAGCCGUCCUUAGUUCGGAUUGGAGUCUGCAACUCGACUCCAUGAAGUCGGAAUCGCUAGUAAAGGCGUAUCAGCUACGACGCCUUGAAUACGUUCCCGGGUCU
rnacentral:rRNA from 1 species